GAGUUUGAUGGGGGACAGUGCUACAGUGGUGAGGACGAGAAACAGUUUCGACUAUGGAGUUAUGAGUAGCGCUGUGGCGACUAUGUAGGCUGUGAGGCAGAUAAAAGCGGAAGUAAUUGGGUUGGCGGAGGAGGAAUUAAGACCUCAAGGGAGGAAGGUCUCGUCGAGCUCGAUUCCAGAGAGUGUCACUAAAGGAGGAUCCAUCAUCCAUCUACUAAAUUGUGAUGGGAUAUUGUUGGGGUGGAAGUGUAGCAGAUUUAAUGAAUGUCACUCACUAGCCACUUGGGGAGUACCAAAUAGCAUACAUUUGCAGAGAGGCUUGAAGGGAUGAACCCUAAGAGGCUUUUAACUAUACACCAAGUAUUUCCAGCAUGCAGAGUAUCUUAUUACUAACGUGAGAGUGACCGUUUUCCCUUAGUUCGUAAAGGGGUUAUCCUAUUUGCAUUCAAUAUUUAAAGUUCAUAUAGACAUUAAAGGCGGGAACAUUUUGCUGUCUGGUCAAGGUGAGGUUAAGUUAGGUUCAUGGAUCCUCCAAGUGAUUUUUCUUUUCAUUCCGCUACUUAUGAUACUGAUGAUAAUAAGAAUGAUAGAGGUAAAACGAGAGGUGUCACCUCGAUGAAGAAGUGGAUCUUAACUCGCUCUUCUGAAAAUGGCAAGAAGGUUGUUGAGUUUAAGGGCAACAACCCAAUUGGGGUUCAAAGAAAAUUUUUUUUGUCUUAUAUUCGUCGUUUAGCUUGUAGCAAAGUGAGUAUAUUGUUUAGGAGUUGGAAAGAAGUUCCGCCACAAACAUUGGAGAUGAUUUGGCAUGAUCUUUUGACUAUAUUUGAUAUUCCCAACACACCUGCCAUGAGGAAACGGUGGUUGAGUUAUGCUGGAGUACGAUGGAGGGACUUUAAAACAUCAUUGAGUUCUACAUUUAUAUAUGGUGAUAAACAAAAUAAGAAUCCAUGUGAUGAGUAUAGUUACAUUGAUCAAGAUACAUGGGAUAAAUUUGUUGCAGCUCACAAAGAUCCAAAGUUUCAGACGGUAAGGAAACAAGCUCAUGACACAAUCAAAUAAUGUGUGCAAGCAUCGAUUGGAUAAAACAAAGGUGAAAAUGAUGGAUGAGAAGCUAAAGGAAAGACAGGAAGUUUUGAUGUCUGACCCAUUGAUUGUAGUUAAUCCUCCAUCUCCCCUAUGCAGACACGGGAUGUGGAAGAGAGCUAGAGUGGAUAAAACAAAGGCAUUUAUCACAGAAGAGAGUAAAUUGAUUGCAAAAAAAAUUGAUUCUUUUGAGCAACAAUGUCCUCAAGGAGAAUUCAUUGAAUCAGGAAGGAUGGAUAUACUAGCACUUGAAAAGAAAGAGCACUCGGGUUGUGUUAGGGGUGUGGGAAGAGAAGAUGGAAUAAGAGAUUUCUUUGGGUCUACACCUCUUUGCGAAGGAUAUGUAACUAUGGAAACUGCUCAACACAUGAUUUCUGCUGCCAUAUCCAAAAGAGUAGCUGAAAAUACUGCUGCCAUAUGCAAAAGAGUAGCUGAAAAUACUGCAGAGUUGAAACAAAUUUUCUAUAAUACAAUGGCUGAAGCUACUGCAAAGUUUCAACAACUUCCUGCAUACUUAGACCAAAAGAACAAUUUAUGUGUUCCGGAGCCUUCACCAGACCUUCAUAGUGAUGAAGCUAGUUCCCCAGACCCUCUUGAGAAUAUACCAAUGGUAGGAGUACCAUGUGUUUUGUACUUGGAGAAUCCUAUUCGACGUAAGGUGGCAAUGGGCAAGGUUUUUGGCAUGGGUCAUACACUUCAUGGCAUACCAUUACCACAUGAUCAAGUAAAAGUAGUCCUAGAAGAGGCCAUUGAACCACAAACAAAGGUACCGUUCCCCACUGAGGAGGCAUCAAAUAUAGGUGGAGCACUUGAUCAAUAUAUUGCUUGGCCAAAGAAGUCAAUACAAUUGUUAAGUCAAAAUGAGGUUAAAGUGUAAAGCAACACAUGAAGCCAUUGUGGAACAGUCUCCAUUGCUUAAAUGUGAUCGAAAUAUUUUGAGCAAUGAUUGCAUGAAAGCAUAUAAAAUUGCAAGUCAUAUAUAGGAGAGUGUUUUGGUUCAUAUGAGUUAUGAGAUCACAGACAAAAUGAGAUAUUAGGUUUAUAUAUUCAAGGAGGAGAUGCACGCUUCUUUAUGUAUGGAGACGAUAUAUAUCUCAUGCAUUCAAUUGUUUAUUAUAUUUCUUUAUCAUCGUAUUGAUUUGGCAAACAAAAACAAGUAUGGAUUCUUAUGCCCAAAUUCUAUUCAAUCUGAAGUGAUGAUAGUGGCCUCAGCGGAAUAGCAGGUGGUGUAAUUCCUUCCGAUCACUUCUUUCGACUAAUCUUCCUUCCGGUCCUUCUUCCUUUCGACUCUGCUUCCUACCGUACAUUUGUUUUUUGGAUGACGAGCCAAACCUGUAACCAUUACCUAAGAGUGUGCAUAAGAGUUAAUUCCAGCAAUGGUCUCCCGACUAUGUUGAUUUUCCAAAAUUGGUCCUUGUCUUUUAAUUUGGACGAAAAAGACACUUGACUAUUGAUUUUGUUCUGGCAUUGGUCCUUCCGUCAACAAUCAGUUAACUUGACGUUAUGUAUUGGGCCACCCAUCAUCUAACGAUGCUUACAGUUCAGAUGAUUUACGAGUUGGUAGGGAUAAGAAGCGGUCUGAGAAGAGGAGCAGGAACUGUCAUGAUGAUAACUGAUGCACUUAUGGAGAAUUGGAGAUGUGUCUUGUGCGAGUAAGAGGUCCAUUCAAUUAUAUGGAACUGUAUUAUUUGUCUUUAAUUUUCACUUCUGAUCCUUUUGGGUGUUGGUGAAUGGGAUGGUGGUAUAAUAAUUUGUUCCAGCUUAAAACAGAGGUCCUUAAAAGGAGAUCAGAAUGCUUGGUAGAGAAGUGGUUUCUGCUUUAUGGUCUAAUGUUUACUUGUAAUGGCAUCUUAGCCUGUGUUUCCUUUAUCUCACAAAAAACUCUCUACAUCUUAUAUAGUUAUGUCUCUAUGUCCUCUUAUAUCUGUUAGAACUCCAUCUUUCGGUUGCAAUGUUGUGUGGAAUGUAUUAAGAAGCUUGAUUGUUGAAA